rnacentral:rRNA from 1 species
GACGCACGCUGGCGGCGUGCUUAACACAUGCAAGUCGAACGGAAAGGCCCUGCUUUUGUGGGGUGCUCGAGUGGCGAACGGGUGAGUAACACGUGAGUAACCUGCCCUUGACUUUGGGAUAACUUCAGGAAACUGGGGCUAAUACCGGAUAGGAGCUCCUGCUGCAUGGUGGGGGUUGGAAAGUUUCGGCGGUUGGGGAUGGACUCGCGGCUUAUCAGCUUGUUGAUGGGGUAGUGGCUUACCAAGGCUUUGACGGGUAGCCGGCCUGAGAGGGUGACCGGACUCAGUGGAACUGAGAUACGGGCGAGACUCCUACGGGGGGCAGCAGUGGGGAACAUUGCACAAUGGGCGGAAGCCUGAUGCAGCAUCGCCGCGUGCGGGAUGACGGCCUUAGGGUUGUAAACCGCUUUCGCCUGUGACGAAGCGUGAGUGACGGUAAUGGGUAAAGAAGCACCGGCUAACUACGUG